rnacentral:rRNA from 1 species
UUUUUACUUGAGAAUUUGAUCUUGGUUCAGAUUGAAUGCUGACGGCGUGGAUGAGGCAUGCAAGUCGAACGAAGCUAUUUAUAGCUUAGUGGCGAAAGGGUUAGUAAUACAUGAGUAAUCUACCUUUAACCUUGGAAUAACAGUUGGAAACGGCUGCUAAUACCGAAUGAGGUGACUGUAGUACGCUACGGUUUAUCAAAGUGGGGGACCUUCGGGCCUUGCGGUUGAAGAAGAGCUCAUGGGAUAUCAGCUUGUUGGUGUGGUAAAGGCGCACCAAGGCUAAGACGUCUAGGCGGACUGAGAGGUUGAUC